rnacentral:rRNA from 1 species
UGCCGCGUGCAGGAUGACGGUCCUAUGGAUUGUAAACUGCUUUUGUACGAAAAAAAACAUCCCGACGUGUCCGGACUUGACGGUAUCGUAAGAAUAAGGAUCGGCUAACUCCGUGCCAGCAGCCGCGGUAAUACUGAGGAUCCAAGCGUUAUCCGGAAUCAUUGGGUUUAAAGGGUCCGUACGCCGUUUAAUAAGUCAGUGGUGAAAGCCCAUCGCUCAGCGGUGGAACGGCCAUUGAUACUGCUGAACUUGAAUUAUUAUGAAGUAACUACAAUAUGUAGUGUAGAGGUGAAGUGCUUAAAUAUUACAUGGAAUACCACUUGCGAAGGCAGGUUACUACUAAUUGAUUGACCCUGAUGGACGAAAGCGUGGGGAGCGAACGGGAUUACAUACCCUGGUAGUCCACGCCUUAGACGAUGGAUACUACCUGUUGGGAGCAAUUUCAGUGGCUAAGCGAAAGUGAUAAGUAUCCCACCUGGGGAGUACGUUCGCAAGAAUGAAACUCAGAGGAAUUGACGGGGGCCCGCACAAGCGGUGGAGCAUGUGGUUUAAUUCGAUGAUACGCGAGGAACCUUACCAAGGCUUAAAUGUAGAUUGACCGUUUUGGAAACAGAACUUUCGCA